UGGUGUUUCCUCUGAAGAACUAGCAGAGUCACCAAGGGCACGAGUCCAUCUCACCACCUUGACUUGCUGACUGAUGCUCGUCUGCACUGCACAGAGGAAAUCAACUGACCGAGGAGUGUUUCUGGGUGAGGGAGAGAGGAGUCAUCAUCCAGGUAAAGUGACGUGGAUCAGUGGACACACUUGUCUCCCCUUUAAAGGAAAUACUCUUAGAGAGAGACGAUCCGAGUCAUCCCUAAAUAUGGGCAGGAUGUCAGUCUUGGACUGUCUAACCUGCCGGAGCAGCACUGAAUGACCACCACACAUGAGCAUGUUCCUGCAACAUUCAGCAGCUUUGCUUUUGUGUCAAAUGUCAAACAGCUGGAGAGGAAACUAAACCAGUGUACUGGGAUGUUUCACCAACGCGUGCCAGAUGCUGUUCCUUCAUGGUGACAUCACCAGAGACAGCCCCGCCCACCUCAGGACCUCGCCAUUGAUCAUGAUGAUUAUAAUCGGAACUAAGACUGUACAAAUCCACGACCAGAAUGUUUAGAUGCUUUCUAAUUAUUAAUGAAUACUGAGAGCCUCUUUCUGUGUUUUGUCUGUUUUGGGUUUUUUUUUUACCUCAUUUGUUACUAACAACGUUCACCAAACUCACACAGUUUACAUUCUGUAUGUUUCCAUCUUUACCAGCCACACUCUGCCUGCAUUUAGAAAACAAACCUUAGAAAUCGUCGUUUUUCUCUUUUGUAAUUUUGUAAUUCAGUGAAUAUACUGCGCUGCUUCCUUUUAUUGCAUCACACAUUGCUUUAAGUUUUUCAGUGUCCAGUUACUUUUUACUGCUGUUUGAAUUCACUGUAUGUUUGACCCUGUAGACUGUUUGAUGGAC